rnacentral:lncRNA from 1 species
CCCCAGUCCACCGCCGGCCGCGCCUCGCCGGCACCGUGGCCCUGAGCGCACUGGGGCGUCGGGCUUCCGCGCGACUCCGAGUUACCGAAGACUCCGCGGCCUUUCCGAAGGCAGGGGAAUGGGAGGGAAGGGCCGCCGACAGGUCGCCCGGUACCCGUCGGGGAAGCUCGCAGGCCGGGGCCCCGCCGUCCAGGGCCCCACUGUCGCCUCGCCAGGAAAGACCAAAGUCCAGGGAGGCGUCCAUCGCGAAGCGUGUUCGCUGGCCGCCCGUCUUGCGCCUAGCACCGGUCCAGGGUGCAGCGGCUCCAGAACGACAGGACAGUGGCCUUGUCCCUGUGGAACCUGGUGUUUGCAGAGAGGGAGCAAACAGGUUCUGAAGGACAAGGCGUGGGGGGGCCCUGCGGAGGUGAACUGGAUUGAACUGGAUGGGAGAGAGGGUCUGGGGCGGGGGGGGCCUGAAUCCGGAGCUGCAGUGAGGCAGAAAGUUCGGAGUGGUCACUUAGAUGUGGUAUCUGAAGCACUGAGCACGUCAAGAUAAGGUGUCCUGUGCAGAUGACAUCAGGAAGACGCUGACACUUGCCCUCGGUGGGAAGGACCCAAUCUAAAGAACAAGACUUUUAAUUCAGUGCAGAUGCACCUCUGACGUUGUCCGGAGAUGUGAUGAGCCCCGUGAUACACUCAAGUUCAUCAACGCACGUCCCUCUGUCGUCUUAUUGUGAAGGGAUGAUACUGUAGCUGAUGACCUAACUCUAGUGAAUGAAUCAGUGUUACUAAGGCCUUAAAAAUUGACAGGGCCGGCACAUCCUAAGGGAAAAGGAAGUCACACUUUAAAAGUUUAUUUCUUCCAGUCUUUUAGGAAAAGAGAUUGUCCAUCUCGUGGAUGCCUGCAAACGAGUCGUAUGAAUCAAGCGGUCAUUUGUCUUUUGCACUCGUUAACUAGAUUAAUGCCUUUCAACUUGAUCUACAUAUCAAAAGCAUCUAAGGUGGGAAAAAAAAAAGGCCCCACCAUGCCAUCCACCAUCAAAACACUGGCAUACAAAUCAGCAUUUUAAAAGAAAAGCUAUAGGCUGACUGGUGUUCAAUUGCACAUUAAAGAAAAAUAAAGGAAUGUUAAGUUAGAAGUGAUGUGGUGAGUCAGAACCAGACAGGGUAGUGCCAAGAAAUGAUUGAUAGAAUGGUCAGUGGUUGUCCUCCCUGGCCUUAAUCUAAAAUGGCUGGGUGUGUUUGUUUCCUGGGGCUGUUGUUACAAAUUUGACAGGUUAACACAACAGAAAUUUAUUCUCUUAACAAUUGUGGAACCAGAAACCCAAUAUCAGUAUCACUGGGCUAAAGUCAGGAUGUCAGCAAGGCCACACUUCCUCCUUCCCUCUUCUGACUUCUGGUAGCUGCCGGCAUGCCUUGACUCGGGACUCCCAUUACUUUAAUCUUCGAGGCCAGCAUCUUCAUCUCUCUCUGCUCCAUCUUCAAAUUACCUGCUCUAGUCAAAUUUCCCUCUGCUCCCUCUUGUAAGAGACAUGUGAUUGCAUUGAGGGCCCACCCAGAUAAUCCAGGAUAAACUCCCCGCCACUUAGUCACAUCUUCAGAAACUCUUUCCAUAGUGGGUAAUAGGAUUACAAGUUCAAGGGCAGCCUGGGCAACUUAGUGAGACCCUGUCCCGAAAAUAAAAAGGGUUGGGGUUGUAGCUCAGUGGUAAACACUUGUGAGGUACUGGGUUCGAUCCUUGGC